rnacentral:rRNA from 1 species
UACGAAGGGGGCUAGCGUUGCUCGGAAUCACUGGGCGUAAAGCGCACGUAGGCGGAUCAGUCAGUUAGAGGUGAAAGCCCAGGGCUCAACCCUGGAACUGCCUUUAAUACUGCUGGUCUGGAGUCCGAGAGAGGUGAGUGGAAUUCCGAGUGUAGAGGUGAAAUUCGUAGAUAUUCGGAGGAACACCAGUGGCGAAGGCGGCUCACUGGCUCGGUACUGACGUUGAGGUGCGAAAGCGUGGGGAGCAAACAGG